UUGCUACACCGAAAUGGUUUUAAAGAUGCAAUUUCGAGUGUAAAAAAAGUGGUUGAAAAUGUUGUCGUGGGAAGCAGCUAAGUUAAGAAUAAGUUUAGAAAUGGUGUUACAAGCGUGACGCAAGUGGGCACAAAGUGAGCCCUUGCACAGCAAAGUGCGCCGAUCAGGCGGAGCAGCGUCGCGCUUGGUUCUCUCCGAGCAGAGCGGAGCUGCGCGGGGACACACGCCGGCCAAGGAGCGCCUGUCCCCGGGUGCGGUGCAAGGAGGCGCCUCCCCUUUAUGUUUUGUUGUGGCUAUUGUGUGUUUUUUUUCUAACUAAAGCGAAAUCCACCUGUGCAGGUAAGUUCCAAUGUCAGCCUUGAAUGUGGAUAAAUGUUGUUGUUUUUUUUUUUUUAAGUGCGAGGCACGUACCUGCUUGCAGCGGCGUUGGUCCGAUGACACUGCAGAGCGGCGGUGAGCGGAUCCCCGGUCCAGCGGUGAUAAUAAAGCCUUAGAAAUAAAGCCUGCUAGUGGUUGGGAGGAGGGAGGGAGCGCGCGUCCUGCUCGGGCAGGUUUACAACUGAUGUCUUACACCCACUCCAGGAAACAAACCUGGGUCGGGACUGACGUGUUCCGCCUCUUCUAAUGACAUUUUUUUUCUUUCCACCUCCUUUUCUUUGCCGUGCGCACGGAGGAGAAGCCCCCUGAAACGCACGCCACCUAUCUUCACGGGAGGGGAUAAUUGAGGGGAGCCAAACGUGAGCAUCUUCUGGCUUCAACUUAUUUUUUUUAUUAUUUUUUUAAAUUCCUCCCUCCCAUCCCAGCACUCUCUUGCUUGCUGCCCCCUCCCGCUCCUCUCGCUUUCUCCAUCCCUGUCUUUUGUACAGAGAAACCAGUGUGUGUGUGUGUGUGUGUGUGUGCGUGUGUGCGCGCGGGGGGGAAACUUGAAGUGCGUCCACGCCAGCCGCAAUCACGACAAUGCUGCAGUCCGCAAAUUAGCUCACUCUUUUGGACCACCCUGCGUUUUUCCCUGAUGUGAAUCCAAUUGGGAACAUCUGGGAAAGGAUGGCAAGGGAACUUUAUAAAACUGGACACCCGUUCCAGGCAGUGGAUGCCCUCCGUGAAGCCAUUUUUAACCACCUGGAGCAACAUUCCCACUGGCCUCCUGGAAACACUGGCAUCAGGCACGCCCCAAACCACUUGUUCAGCUGAUUAACAAGAAUGGCACAGCUACUCAGUCCUGAUUCAUUUGGGUUUUUUUGCACUAUCGUCUUAAACUUUUCAUCAACAGAUAACCAGCCUAUUUCACUUUAAUGCUUGUUUGCAAUAAAUUACUUACUUUUUU